rnacentral:lncRNA from 1 species
ACCAGAACACUUGGUGAGCUCCGGCAAAGCUGGUGCACUGCAGUGAGACAAAACACCAGGCUACAGUGGCUACCGCUAACGUGACUCAAAACGACGUUGCUGGCUCAGACUGCUGUAAACCCCCGAAGUUCACGGCUGUAUUUUCAGCUUGAAGCUACUUCCAGCCCUAAAUUCAAGAACAUUAAGUCACCAGCUGCUGUGACAGCCCUGAGCCAUCCACUGAACUUCUUCAGCCUCUUCUUGGGAUGCAGCGAUUAGCACCUGGCAGCUUGGACAACUAUUGCAAGGCAAGAUGAAGAGCCAUAGGUAAGGCAGAAGAUGGUGUCUGAGACUAACUUCUCCUAUAAUGUGGCUACUUUCCCCUCCUUUUUUUUUUUCUAUUAUGGAUAGCGCAAUGAUAAUUUUUUGAUUAUAGUGAUAGUGUGUCUGUAUAAGGUGAAAGGGCUGUCAUUUUUCCACAGGUUAUUUUCUGAAGAUAUCUGUUAUCUUCUGAGGGUUGAAAGUACUGAAGUUGCUUUAUGAGGGUAAAUGUUGCUAUAACGCCAAAGGCGCGAUAAGCUUAAUCUUGCAGAUUUUAUGCAGGUUUCAUGCCUGCAUAGGCACUAAUCCAGCAGACUUGAUUCCUCUUUCACUUCAACUUUUUUUUUUGUCUAAGUAACUCCACGCAUCAUUCUAUUCAGAUUUACAGCAAUGAACAUGAGAUUAGAUUCAAGCCUGUAACGGGAGACAUUUUGCAGCAU